rnacentral:rRNA from 1 species
ACGCUCGACACCUACGGGUGGCAGCAGUGGGGAAUAUUGCACAAUGGGGGAAACCCUGAUGCAGCGACGCCGCGUGGAGGAAGAAGGUCUUCGGAUUGUAAACUCCUGUUGUUGGGGAAAAAGAGGAUGGUACCCAACAAGGAAGUGACGGCUAACUACGUGCCAGCAGCCGUGGUAAUCUGAGCGGGCUGGCAAGGC